AUCUUUCUCUUGCCGCGUGCUGGUGUUGGAGGACCCUCCCUGCUUCAGAUUUACCAACAGCAUGAAUCAAGAAAAGUUAGCCAAACUUCAGGCUCAGGUCCGGAUAGGGGGCAAGGGUACAGCUCGCAGAAAGAAGAAGGUAGUACAUAGAACAGCCACAGCUGAUGACAAAAAGCUUCAGAGUUCUCUAAAAAAACUGGCUGUGAAUAAUAUAGCUGGUAUUGAAGAGAAACAACAGAUUUUUUCCAGUUUAUUUGGUAAGAAGUGUAACCAAAAAGCACUUUCCGAUUCAGAUGCCCUAAUUGUUCCAAGUUGCUUCAUAGAGUUUUAUAAUAAUAUUCAGAGGACAGCUUCUGUCUUAAUUAGGGUAUAAUUCAGCCUCCAUGAAACCCUUCCUGUCUUUCCAGGUGAACAUGAUUAAAGAUGAUGGGACAGUUAUUCAUUUCAACAAUCCCAAAGUCCAAGCUUCCCUUUCUGCUAAUACCUUUGCAAUUACUGGUCAUGCAGAAGCCAAACCAAUCACAGAAAUGCUUCCUGGAAUAUUAAGUCAGCUUGGUGCUGACAGUUU
rnacentral:sRNA from 1 species